UACGGAGGAUCCAAGCGUUAUCCGGAUUUAUUGGGUUUAAAGGGUGCGUAGGCGGCUUAUUAAGUCAGGGGUGAAAGGCGACAGCUUAACUGUCGGAGUGCCUUUGAUACUGAUGAGCUUGAAUACAGUUGAGGUAGGCGGAAUGUGACAAGUAGCGGUGAAAUGCAUAGAUAUGUCACAGAACACCGAUUGCGAAGGCAGCUUACUAAAGUGUGAUUGACGCUGAGGCACGAAAGCGUGGGGAUCAAACGGG
rnacentral:rRNA from 1 species